rfam:Marine metagenome ctg_1101668679737, whole genome shotgun sequence.
ACUCAACGCUAAUCAAUUAAGAAGGGUGAGUUUAGAUUGUUAAAUCGUGCUGAUUUAUUCAGAUUUUUGAUCAGUCUUGUAGCCCUAAACCUGUUAAAAUGGAGUUU